AGUGAACGCUGGCGGUAGGCCUAACACAUGCAAGUCGAACGGCAGCACAGUAAGAGCUUGCUCUUACGGGUGGCGAGUGGCGGACGGGUGAGGAAUACAUCGGAAUCUACUUUUUCGUGGGGGAUAACGUAGGGAAACUUACGCUAAUACCGCAUACGACCUACGGGUGAAAGCAGGGGAUCUUCGGACCUUGCGCGAUUGAAUGAGCCGAUGUCGGAUUAGCUAGUUGGCGGGGUAAAGGCCCACCAAGGCGACGAUCCGUAGCUGGUCUGAGAGAAUGAUCAGCCACACUGGAACUGAGACACGGUCCAGACUCCUACGGGAGGCAGCAGUGGGGAAUAUUGGACAAUGGGCGCAAGCCUGAUCCAGCCAUACCGCGUGGGUGAAGAGGGCCUUCGGGUUGUAAAGCCCUUUUGUUGGGAAAGAAAAGCAGCAGGUUAAUACCCCGCUGUUCUGACGGUACCCGAAGAAUAAGCACCGGCUAACUUCGUG
rnacentral:rRNA from 1 species